UUCACCACCAGCACAAAGCUCCAUAACCAAAUUCACAGCUUUCUCAUCUUCAUAAGCUCCUUUAAACUCAACAAUGUUAGGUUGUCCACUCAAAUGCUGCAUAAUCUGAAUCUCUCUCCUCAUAUCUUCUUUAUCACCUUUCGUCACAAGUUUCUUCUUGGAAAUCGACUUGCAAGCGAAUCUCUUCCCCGUCGACUUCUCUGUGCACAGAUACGUUACUCCAAACUGGCCUCGACCCAAUUCUUUGCUCAAAGUGUAGAACAGUUUCACGUCUUCGUACGGCUUCUCGAGUAUAGCUGCAGCACCACUGUGUUUCGCUGGAUUCCGCCAAGGUGGUGGUUGAUUCGUUCCGGUGGAUAUUUUAGACGGAUCUUGGUGGGUGCUCCUUCUUCUGUUCUCGAUCUCAACUGAUCUUUCACCAUUUUGUUGUGGUUUCAUCACCAAUCCGUAUUUCUUGGCUAAGCAAUUCCCCAUUGCCCGUUCGUCUUUGCUUUAGCUAAAUAAGCUCAAAAUAUCACGACCCAGAGACCAAAGAUCGAACCUUUCGUGAAAAUUUGCAGAGAAUCAGGGAUAUAAAACAGAGAAAUAAGCAAAGGUUUGAUCUUUUUUUUGGGUGGGUUUAUACUAGAAGACGUAUAGGCUACAAUUCAGCAACUAAGGACAACGAACUUGGUUAAUCAAGCAAAGAUUUGUGUUUAAGAGAUUUAGAACAAAUGAUUGUUUGGAAAGUUGAAUUGCAGAAGAAUCAUGAAAAGUUGGGGAAGAAGAAGUUACAAAGUAGUGGAGGGAUCUCUAAAGGUCGGCUUUUUGGGGCAGCUGUGGAGUUUAGUUUGUUCGUGAAAUUAAAUUGACAAUUUUUU